AUGAACGCUGGCGGCGUGCCUAAUACAUGCAAGUCGAGCGAACAGACGAGGAGCUUGCUCCUCUGACGUUAGCGGCGGACGGGUGAGUAACACGUGGAUAACCUACCUAUAAGACUGGGAUAACUUCGGGAAACCGGAGCUAAUACCGGAUAAUAUAUUGAACCGCAUGGUUCAAUAGUGAAAGACGGUUUUGCUGUCACUUAUAGAUGGAUCCGCGCCGCAUUAGCUAGUUGGUAAGGUAACGGCUUACCAAGGCAACGAUGCGUAGCCGACCUGAGAGGGUGAUCGGCCCCCCUGGAACUGAGAACCGGUCCAGACUCCUAAGGGAAGGCGCAGUAGGGAAUCUUCCGCAAUUGGCGGAAGCCUUACGGAGCAAAGGCGGGUGGGGGAAUAAGGGCUUCGGAUUGGAAAACCUCUGUAUUAGGGAAGAACAAAUGUGUAAGUAACUAUGCACGUCUUGACGGUACCUAAUCAGAAAGCCACGGCUAACUACGUG
rnacentral:rRNA from 1 species